rnacentral:rRNA from 1 species
AUUGAACGCUGGCGGCAGGCUUAACACAUGCAAGUCGAGCGAGCGGCGGACGGGUGAGUAAUGUCUGGGAAACUGCCUGAUGGAGGGGGAUAACUACUGGAAACGGUAGCUAAUACCGCAUACCAUCAGAUGUGCCCAGGUGGGAUUAGCUUGGUGGGGGGGUAACGGCUCACCAAGGCGACGAUCCCUAGCUGGUCUGAGAGGAUGACAAGCCACAAUGGAACUGAGACACGGUCCAGACUCCUACGGGAGGCAGCAGUGGGGAAUAUUGCACAAUGGGCGCAAGCCUGAUGCAGCCAUGCCGCGUGUAUGAAGAAGGCCUUCGGGUUGUAAAGUACUUUCAGCGGGGAGGCGUUACCCGCAGAAGAAGCACCGGCUAACUCCGUGCCAGCAGCAGCGGUAAUUC